GUGCACGCUGGCGGUAGGCCUAACACAUGCAAGUCGAACGGCAGCACAGUAAGAGCUUGCUCUUACGGGUGGCGAGUGGCGGGCGGGUGAGGAAUACAUCGGAAUCUACUUUUUCGUGGGGGAUAACGUAGGGAAACUUACGCUAAUACCGCAUACGACCUACGGGUGAAAGCAGGGGAUCUUCGGACCUUGCGCGAUUGAAUGAGCCGAUGUCGGAUUAGCUAGUUGGCGGGGUAAAGGCCCACCAAGGCGACGAUCCGUAGCUGGUCUGAGAGGAUGAUCAGCCACACUGGAACUGAGACACGGUCCAGACUCCUACGGGAGGCAGCAGUGGGGAAUAUUGGACAAUGGGCGCAAGCCUGAUCCAGCCAUACCGCGUGGGUGAAGAAGGCCUUCGGGUUGUAAAGCCCUUUUGUUGGGAAAGAAAAGCAGCAGGUUAAUACCCCGCUGUUCUGACGGUACCCAAAGAAUAAGCACCGGCUAACUUCGUG
rnacentral:rRNA from 1 species